GACGAACGCUGGCGGCAUGCCUAAUACAUGCAAGUCGAACGCUUUAAUUUCACCGGGUGCUUGCACCCAUCGAAGUUAAGGAGUGGCGGACGGGUGAGUAACACGUGGGUAACCUGCCCAUAAGAGGGGGAUAACAUUCGGAAACGGAUGCUAAUACCGCAUAUUUCUAAUCGUCUCCUGACGAAUGGAAGAAAGGUGGCUUCGGCUACCGCUUAUGGAUGGACCCGCGGCGUAUUAGUUAGUUGGUGGGGUAAUGGCCUACCAAGACGAUGAUACGUAGCCGACCUGAGAGGGUGAUCGGCCACAUUGGGACUGAGACACGGCCCAA
rnacentral:rRNA from 1 species